rnacentral:rRNA from 1 species
AUGCCGGGGCCGACGCCAUGGUGCACGAAGCAUCCAAGCACCGUGUCACCUACGACGGAGCAGGUGGCUCCUCCGCCGGAGCAGGUGACUCCUCUGCCACGCCAUCUGCCUCCUCUGCCGCAGCCCGUGGUCCACGUAGACGGCGACGACGACGAAGAAGAGGUAGCUGCUUUGGCUCUUCAGAUGGAGCAGGUGUCUCCUCUCCCGCGGGUGACGCCUCCUGUGCCCGAGCCUGUGGUCAUCGGUGAUGUCAACAAAGAAGAUCCUCAGCCGGGUGUUCGUAUGUCGUGGUUGUUGCCUCCCCUGCCCCCACCUUUGGUCGUCGCCGACGAGAACGAAGAAGAUGUUUUCCCUGGUUAG